CCUACGGGAGGCAGCAGUGGGGAAUAUUGGGCAAUGGGCGCAAGCCUGACCCAGCAACGCCGCGUGAAGGAAGAAGGCUUUCGGGUUGUAAACCUCUUUUGUCAGGGACGAAGCAAGUGACGGUACCUGAUGAAUAAGCCACGGCUAACUACGUGCCAGCAGCCGCGGUAAUACGUAGGUGGCAAGCGUUAUCCGGAUUUACGGGGUGUAAAGGGCGUGUAGGCGGGACUGCAAGUCAGAUGUGAAAGCCACGGGCUCAACCUGUGGACUGCAUUUGAAACUGUAGUUCUUGAGUGCGGGAGAGGCAGACGGAAUUCCUGGUGUAGCGGUGAAAUGCGUAGAUAUUAGGAAGAACACCGGUGGCGAAGGCGGUCUGCUGGACAGCAACUGACGCUGAGGCGCGAAAGCGUGGGGAGCAAACAGGAUUAGAUACCCGUGUAGUC
rnacentral:rRNA from 1 species